rnacentral:rRNA from 1 species
AGUGAACGCUGGCGGUAGGCCUAACACAUGCAAGUCGAACGGCAGCACAGUAAGAGCUUGCUCUUACGGGUGGCGAGUGGCGGACGGGUGAGGAAUACAUCGGAAUCUACUUUUUCGUGGGGGAUAACGUAGGGAAACUUACGCUAAUACCGCAUACGACCUACGGGUGAAAGCAGGGGAUCUUCGGACCUUGCGCGAUUGAAUGAGCCGAUGUCGGAUUAGCUAGUUGGCGGGGUACAGGCCCACCAAGGCGACGAUCCGUAGCUGGUCUGAGAGGAUGAUCAGCCACACUGGAACUGAGACACGGUCCAGACUCCUACGGGAGGCAGCAGUGGGGAAUAUUAGGAAAUGGGCGCAAGCCUGAUCCAGCCAUACCGCGUGGGUGAAGAAGGCCUUCGGGUUGUAAAGCCCUUUUGUUGGGAAAGAAAAGCAGCAGGUUAAUACCCCGCUGUUCUGACGGUACCCAAAGAAUAAGCACCGGCUAACUUCGUG